UGGUGGUGUGAAUUGUCUGGUUAAUUCCGUUAACGAACGAGACCUUUAUCUACUAAAUAGUACAUUUAUUCUUACGGAUAAUGAAGUAACUUCUUAGAGAGACUUUUCGCUUUUAGCGGAAGGAAGUUAAAGGCAACAACA
rnacentral:rRNA from 1 species